CGGCUUUAAUCUGAUGAAUCCGAGCCCGAAGAGAAAGGAAUAGAUUUGGCCCACUCUGCACGAGAGUGAACAUUAACAACCAGUCCGCCGUCGUUCCCUGACAUCCUCGGUCAGAAACGAGUGUCCACUCGGGAAGGUUUUGCGCCUAUAAAAUGGUCCUGUUCCCGUAUCCAUUUCCAUCUCCCUGGCACUGAUGGCCUUGCUUUGACAAAUCUAAAGCAACAACGGGGCAACAGAAGAGCAGAUACUGCAGUAAAGUGGAGUGCUGCAAAAUGAUUUGACGAAGAGGAGAAUAGCUGAU
ensembl:lncRNA